GACGAACGCUGGCGGCGUGCUUAACACAUGCAAGUCGAACGGAAAGGCCCUGCUUUUGUGGGGUGCUCGAGUGGCGAACGGGGGAGUAACACGUGAGUAACCUGCCCUUGACUUUGGGAUAACUUCAGGAAACUGGGGCUAAUACCGGAGAGGAGCUCCUGCUGCAUGGUGGGGGUUGGAAAGUUUCGGCGGUUGGGGAUGGACUCGCGGCUUAUCAGCUGGUUGGUGGGGUAGGGGCUGACCAAGGUUUUGACGGGUAGCCGGCCUGGGAGGGUGGACGGCGACCUUGGGACUGAGGGAGGGCCCAGUCUCCUACGUGAGGCAGCAGUGGGGAGUAUUGCACAAUGGGGGGACGUCUGAUGCAGAAACGCCGCGUGCGGGAUGACGGCCUUCGGGUUGUAAACAGCUUUCGCCUGUGACGAAGCGUGAGUGACGGUAAUGGGUAAAGAAGCACCGGCUAACUACGUG
rnacentral:rRNA from 1 species